AUGAUUCCGGACCAGCGCUCCGAUCAGCUGGUGGAAGCGCCGAGCCGGCCAAUGUCGCGCUGCCACCUUUUCUGGGCCGUGAUAUUGCCGAUGGUGCUCCUCGUAGGUGUCAUUACCUUCUGUGCCUACCAAUACCACGAGCUGCCUUAUUACUAUGCCGCGAUCGACUCCGUCUCCGGCCUCAACCUCACCACCGACCUCGCACGCCGCCCCGCGCUGCUCUACCCGGAGUUCAACCUCACCGUCCGUGUCGCCCCGCACACGCUAUGGUUCAAGAAGUGCCUCGACCGUGGCGCAUAUGUGGGGGUGGCCUACCGCGGCGUCUGGUUCGCCACCAGCGUGCCCACGACGGACAAGAUCUGUGUCGGGCCUGGGAAGGUGGUGGAUCGGCCCUUUGUCGCGAGGGGCCGCGACGUGGUCAUGCCGGUGUCCGUGCAGGAUAGCCUUGUGGGGGAGUUGCGCGGUCCAUUGCCGGAUUUCAACGUCGUGUUCCUUGGCCUAUGGCGGUGCUGCGCGUUGUCUUGCGGGACUCGACGGCCCAGCAUGUAUGUGGAGGUCUCAUAUCGUGGUGUCUCGCUGGCAUCCAGCGGAACCAUGACUGAGAGGAUCUGCGCCAGGCCGAGGAACGUGACUGACCAUGCCGGCAUAGCAAGGGGCCCCGGGGUGGUUGUGCCAGGAGAACACUAUGAACCUACGAUGGCUAAUGUCUUGCUUGGUGUAGCGUGCGCUAUCUUCCAAUAUGUUGAGUUGCCUGAUUAUUAUGCUGCGAUCAACUCAGUCUCCGGCCUUGACCCAACCACCGAUCUCGCACGUCGCCCCGCGCUGCUCUAUCCGGAGUUCAACCUCACCUUCCGUGUCGCCUCCCACACACCAUGGUUCACCAAGUGCGUCGAGCCUGGCGCGUACAUGGGGGUGGCUUAUGGCGGCGUCUGGUUCGCCACCACCGUGCCCACGACGGAGCGGAUCUGCGUCGGGCCAGGGAAGACGGUGGAUCGGCCCUUUGUGGCGAGGGGCCGCGAGGUGGUCAUGCCGGUGUCCGUGCAGGAUAGCCUCGUGGGGAAGUUGCGUGGCGGAUUGCCGGAUUUUGAUGUCGUGCUCCUUGGCCUAGGGCAGUGCUGGGCGUUGUCUUGCGGACGGAGGAGGGUCGGUGAUACCGACGUCUUGCAAGCAAGGUGCUCCAAUUAUAUCAGGACGGGCAGCAGAAGAUAUGCAAAGUGUCGUUGA
rnacentral:rRNA from 1 species